UAUCCGCCCGGGGACUACGAGCGUCAGCUUGAAACCCAAAGGACUUGGCGGUGCUUUAGAUCCACCUAGAGGAGCCUGUUCUAGAACCGAUAAUCCCCGUUCAACCUCACCUUUCCUUGCUCAUUCCGCCUAUAUACCGCCGUCGUCAGCUUACUCUUUGAGGAACCAGCCGUAAGCGCAACUGGUACAACCUAAAACGCCAGGUCGAGGUGUAGCGAAUGGAAAGGGAAGAAAUGGGCUACAUUCAAUAACAAUAAUGCAUACGAACGAUGUCCUGAAAUAAACAUCUGAAGGAGGAUUUAGUAGUAAGUAGAGAGUAGAGUGCUCUGCUGAAGCCGGCCCUGAAGCGCGUACACACCGCCCGUCACUCUCCCCGAGCUAACCAUAAAAAUUAAUAAUAAGCAAAACUUGCAAAGGGGAGGCAAGUCGUAACAUGGUAAGCGUACCGGAAGGUGCGCUUGGCUAAACCCAAGAGUGAAGAAAACACAAAUUAAUCCCCUCACAAACCCUGAGGAAGCGUCUGUGCAAACCAGAUCACUAUUGACCCAGCU
rnacentral:rRNA from 1 species